GGGGAUGUGGCUCAGUUGGUAGAGCGUUCGCUUAGCAGCUUCUGACUGCCAAAGGUCCCGAGUUCGGUUCUCACCAUUUCCA